rnacentral:rRNA from 1 species
GAACUUAAGCAUAUCAAUAAGCGGAGGAAAAGAAACCAACAGGGAUUGCCUCAGUAACGGCGAGUGAAGCGGCAACAGCUCAAAUUUGAAAUCUGACCCCUUCGGGGCCCGAGUUGUAAUUUGUAGAGGAUGCUUCGGGUGCGGCGCCGGUCUAAGUUCCUUGGAACAGGACGUCAUAGAGGGUGAGAAUCCCGUAUGCGACCGGCGGCCAACCCCGUGUGAAGCCCCUUCGACGAGUCGAGUUGUUUGGGAAUGCAGCUCAAAAUGGGUGGUAAAUUUCAUCUAAAGCUAAAUACCGGCCAGAGACCGAUAGCGCACAAGUAGAGUGAUCGAAAGAUGAAAAGCACUUUGGAAAGAGAGUCAAACAGUACGUGAAAUUGUUGAAAGGGAAGCGCUUGCAACCAGACCUGCCCGCGGGCGAUCAGCCGUUAUUCUUAGCGGUGCACUCGUCCGCGAUCAGGCCAGCAUCGGUUCGGGCGGCCGGAUAAAGGCCUCAGGAAUGUAGCUCCCCCCGGGGAGUCUUAUAGCCCGGGGUGCAAUGCGGCCAGCCCGGACCGAGGACCGCGCUUCGGCUAGGAUGCUGGCGUAAUGGUUGUAAGCGACCCGUCUUGAAACACGGACC